UACGUAGGGGGCUAGCGUUGUCCGGAAUCAUUGGGCGUAAAGCGCGUGUAGGCGGCCCGGUAAGUCCGCUGUGAAAGUCGGGGGCUCAACCCUCGGAUGCCGGUGGAUACUGUCGGGCUUGAGUACGGAAGAGGCGAGUGGAAUUCCUGGUGUAGCGGUGAAAUGCGCAGAUAUCAGGAAGAACACCCGUGGCGAAGGCGGCUCUCUGGGACGUGACUGACGCUGAGACGCGAAAGCGUGGGGAGCGAACAGG
rnacentral:rRNA from 1 species